GUUGAAACAUUGGUUCCCGUACGAUCAACGAAGUUAAGCAAUGUCGAAACUGGUCAGUACCUAGAUGAGUGACCUCUUGGGAAUAACUCCUGCUGUAAG